AAUCCGACGGAGGGAAGACGCCAACCAACCGUCGAUAGACAUUCCUGGACUCUGUAGCCGGAUGUAUUCCUCAGAUAGGAGUCAACUAUCCUGGAUCUCGACACACCGCAUGCUGACAGCUGCUUCCCAGAGUCCAGAUGAAUGCCAAAGAGGAGCCCGGAGUGUUGGAGCUGAGUGUACCAGUCCCCCGCUGAAACCCCAUCUCCCUCACACUGGGACAGCACUGCUCCCUCCAGGAUCCGAUGAUUACAGGGCAGCUGAGCAAGCCGCUGCUCUCCCUGCGCAGCGACAUGAGCGUGGCAGAACUCCGGGCGGACGACAAAGCGGCCAGCCCAGACAGCGAUCUGAACGACGAGCCCUUGCUCCUGUCCUCUGAGGCCACGGACAGAGACG